rnacentral:rRNA from 1 species
UAACGCGUAGGUAACCUGCCUUGUAGCGGGGGAUAACUAUUGGAAACGAUAGCUAAUACCGCAUAACAAUGGGUGACUCAUGUCAUUUAUUUGAAAAGGGGGCAAAUGCUCCACUACAAGAUGGACCUGCGUUGUAUUAGCUAGUAGGUGAGGUAACGGCUCACCUAGGCGACGAUACAUAGCCGACCUGAGAGGGUGAUCGGCCACACUGGGACUGAGACACGGCCCAG